rnacentral:RNase_P_RNA from 1 species
UAACUCCCAGAGGGGGUGACUUCUGGAAAGUGCCACAGAAACUAUACCACCUGGUAGCAAGAGCUACCGGGAAAGGGUGAAAAGGUGGGGUAAGAGCCCACCAGCAGGAAAGUGAUUUCCUGGCUGGGUAAACCCUGUUGGGUGCAAGGCCAAAUAGGAGGUUCAACCUCGGGUAGGCCGCUUGAGACCCAGGGUAACCUGGGUCCUAGAUAAAUGGUUGCCGCCGAGAACAUUUUUCUCGGUAACAGAACCCGGCUUACACUUCUCUUGUCCCC